rnacentral:rRNA from 1 species
AACGAACGCUGGCGGCAGGCCUAACACAUGCAAGUCGAGCGGGACCUUCGGGUCUAGCGGCGGACGGGUGAGUAUCGCGUGGGAAUGUGCCCUUCUCUACGGAAUAGCCUCGGGAAACUGAGGGUAAUACCGUAUACGCCCUUUGGGGGAAAGAUUUAUCGGAGAAGGAUCAGCCCGCGUUGGAUUAGGUAGUUGGUGGGGUAAUGGCCUACCAAGCCGACGAUCCAUAGCUGGUUUGAGAGGAUGAUCAGCCACACUGGGACUGAGACACGGCCCAGACUCCUACGGGAGGCAGCAGUGGGGAAUCUUAGACAAUGGGGGAAACCCUGAUCUAGCCAUGCCGCGUGAGUGAUGAAGGCCUUAGGGUUGUAAAGCUCUUUCAGCUGGGAAGAUAAUGACGGUACCAGCAGAAGAAGCCCCGGCUAACUCCGUGCCAGCAGCCGCAGUAAGAC